rnacentral:tRNA from 1 species
GGAGGAGUGCCUGAGUGGUUGAAAGGGACGGUCUUGAAAACCGUUAGGUCGGAAACGGCCUCGUGAGUUCGAAUCUCACCUCCUCCGCCA